rnacentral:lncRNA from 1 species
CAAAUUUCUCCCACUUCCUGCAGUUUUACAUUGAUUCUGAGCCUUUAAUGGGUAAACGGCUGAUUUUCAUCGACCAACUGAACCGGGUGAGCAUCACGACGGACAACGGGUACGUUUUCGAAGGCCACUACACGGCUGAGGAUCCAUCUGGCCCUUUCGACCUGAGGGGUUUCGAAACGUCGGCCACGCCGAAGCUCGCCCCUGGUGCUUACAUUGAAAUCACUGGAAUCGCAGAUGGAGGCCCCGAGUGACGAGUUCAAACCUGUAAAAAUAUAAAUGUGUUGGUCCCCGUACCGAAGAAUGCCAAAUUUAUUUCAUUGGUUACGGAAAGAACCACAAUAAACACA